UCAAUAGCCUAACGGCUGAACCAGCAACUUGGAAGAAGGUAUAGCAAUAGCUAAUUGUAUUAGCAAAUAGUUUUUACAAUAUCGAUUUAAUCGACUAAAAUUCUAGGUAGAUUUAUGAUGAUGACAUUAUCUAUCUAUGUGUCUUGACCAAAUUUCGUGCCAGCAGUCGCGGUAAGACGUAAGAGACUAGUGUUAUUCAUCUUUAAUAGGUUUAAAGCGUACCUAGACGGUAAUUAAAGCCUAUAUCAGGAACUUGUUUACUAGAGUUAAAUGUAAGGGUGUAUUAAAGUACUGUUGAGUGUAGAGAUGAAAUUCGUUGAUACCAAAUAAUUGGCACAGGUAUAGGCGAAAGCAUCACUUUAUGUAAUAACUGACGUUGACGGACGAAGGCUUUGUGUCGCGAACAGGAUUAGAUACCCCAGUAGUYUUAGCAGAAAACUAUGAGUGUCAUAGGUUAGAUUUUAUUUGGUCUAUAAAUGAAAGUGUAAGCACUCCACCUCAAGAGUAAUUUGGCAACAUUGGAACUGAAAUCAUUAGACCGUUUYUGAAACCAGUAGUGAAGUAUGUUGUUUAAUUUGAUAAUCCGCAAAGAACCUUACCACAAUUUGAAUAUAAAUGAUUUAUUUUUACAAGCGUUGCACGGCUGUCUUCAGUUAAUGUCGUGAGAUAUUGGUUUAUUCCAUUAAAUUAACGUAAACCCGUACKUUAUUUUUAUAUAAAGUUGUUCAUUCGCUAUAAUG
rnacentral:rRNA from 1 species